rnacentral:lncRNA from 1 species
GUAUUGAGACUUUACAAUGAGAACAUUAUGCUCUCUUUAUUAUACGAUCGAUUCUUCGAGAGCAACGUAUGUUGAGACUAUACUUUAUUUACCGAAUAAAGUCGAGUGGAAAGUUCUCGAUCAUAUUCUCCCACUUAAUACAUUGUUGCCACCAAAAGUUGAACUGCGUGAUCUGAACAUCCAUGUACAUCUAGAAUACCAUCUACCAUAAAGUUUCUUCGAC